UACCUGUUCUUAGUAUAUACGAGUUUUUGAAAUAUAAAAAACGGAGCAAUAACCUCUUUCUUGUUUUAUCAAGAGGGUGGUAUUGCUCCUUUUUUAUUUAUUUUUUUAGUUAAGACUGUUAAGGAAUCCUUUGAAAUAAAUCAAUAAAAGAAAACUGAC
rnacentral:misc_RNA from 1 species